rnacentral:rRNA from 1 species
GUCUACGGCCAUGCCACCCUGAACGCGCCUGAUCCCGUCUGAUGUCGGAAGCUAAGCAGGGUCGGGCCUGGUUAGUACUUGGAUGGGAGACCGCCUAGGAAGACCAGGUGCUGUAGGCA